rnacentral:lncRNA from 1 species
UUUUGAGUUUUAGGGAGGGCAAAAUAGUCAAUCCUGAGAAUGGGAGACUCAUUCCCAAACUCCCCUUGGGAAUGAGUCUCCCAUUCUUCAUUCCCAAUUUGUGGUGGGUCCUAUGGUUCUUAUUUUGAUUCCUGACUCUAUUUUGCGAGGUAAACAUCGUCAAUCAUUCUGAUUCCCUUAUCCGAUAAGUAAACUCAAUAUAAGUGAUUUAAUUCUAGUAGAUUUUUUAUUAUAUAUAUCAGUAGACUUUUCAGCAUUAAAAAAAAAAAGUGAAUAAGUGAUUAUUGCAUACAUAUAUUACCUUUUUGAGCUUUCAAAGUUGUUUCACCACCUGAUUUCAUUUAUGGGGGAAGAUCUCUUUAGUAAGUUUAGUUCAAGACUAUAUGGACUCGAAAUCUAAUUAAUUGAGGAGUGAUGAUAUUUGAUCCCAUUUAUUCUUUCACCGGACCCCAUUUCUUAAUUAAUUUAUUUACUAUUAGAAUUAUCCUUUUUAUUAUUUUGUUAAUUUCUCUAUCCUUUUCAAUUACUAGUAACUAGUGCCACUGAGAUAUUGAAUAACUUUAUCAAAUUUCAACUUCUUUGUAGUCAUCCUUUACAAUCGUGAAACUUCCACAAAAGAAAUUGUAUCUAAUGUUUACCAAACCAUGGAUAUUUAUGUCGAGUCCAAUGGAACAAGUGAAGAAACAUUGUUACCGAAUGUCUCAUUUUUUUAUCUUUGUUUGUUUUGUGCAUUUAAUUAAUGAUGUACUAGUUAUUGUGGUGUGCUCAUGUGUCUUAGAAGAUUCAAAGUAAAGUUGAAGCUUGAUUAUGUAUUGUGUAAUGUAACACUAGAAUUUUAUUUACUACUGAAAAUAUUAAUUGGAAAUGGCAAAAAGACCUGACCUGAAUUUUACCCAAUUGACACGACCCAAAGUUUUCAGGGUUUGACCUAAAUUUAAGGGGUUUCAGGUUGAGCUCAAGCUUAAAUAUCAGGGUCUAAUUAAAUUUGGGUCAAGGUUCAGGUCCUAUUUGCCUCGACUUGACCAACCCGACCUGGAGUUCAUGUAUAUCGGAUGUUAUGUCCAUUUUUUUACAAAUUUAAAUUACUUAGAUAAAAACAAUUAUGGACUUGAGGCCUUUUUAUUUCAAAUAAGAAGAAGGGAGAUCCUUAAUGUAAAAUUGUAGAUUGUUAGUGAAUACAAAUCACUCGUUAAUUGAAAGCAAGUAAUUUUUUAUACUGACUCCCUUAUCAAUAUGGAAAAAUCAUCCAUUAAUACUGAUUUCCUUGCAACUUUAUAAUAAUAAUAAUAAUAAUUUUAGGAUCUCAAUCAAUCAAAAGGGAGGUAUUCGGUUCGAAGAUUUGAUUUUUCUACUAAGGACAGGGAUGCAGGUAGAAUCUUGUUGUGCAAAUUUUAUUGAACUCGCAAGUGCACGAAUCUAUUGUAGAAUAGAUUAAUGGUAACGAGUGUCGAUCCUACGAGGAGGUGUAUUUUAAUUAUAUGUAGAAUUAAUUUUCUAUGAGGGUGGUUGGAUUUGUGGUGAAAGUGACUUAGAUUAUCCUAAACUUUGAAUUAAAAUGGUGAGAAUAAAUCGAAGAGAAAUCUAUUGAAAUGACGUACUUGGGUAUCUGGAUCUGCAUCAACAUGCACCAUGGGCUAAAUAUUUCUUAUUAAUGCCAAUUAAAUCAUGAGGAGGGAUUCCACUCCUCAUGAACCACAUUCUAAUUAAUAUGAUGCUAAGAGUUUAUCGUGCCAAAUAAUAAUAACCUUGUACUAGGGAGCCGGUGAAACCAGGGUGGUAUCUAGACAAGAUUAUUACUUUUUGUCGACAAAAAGUCAAAACAUCCACAAUAAUUAGAGGGGAAGAGAAAUUAAAUUUACCAAAUAAAACCCAUGGCACAUGUUAAGACUUCAUCUUCAACCCAAGCUUGAAAGAAAAUUAGCUACUCAUAUUUGAACUAGGGGUAAAAUAAAAAUUUAUUAAAAUACGUAGAAAAUAUAAGAUGGAAAAGGAAUUACAGAAAAUGGAACUAAAAAAUGAAUUCAGGGAUGCCAAAUUAGGGGGGAGGCCCCCUUUUUAUAGAUACAGUGAGUAAAUCAUGGCCAUCAUAUUAAAAACAUUUUGGACGCUCAGGAUUGCACCACAUCAUCAGUCAACAGUACGCAGUUUGACCACGCAGUUUGAACAGUCACACGGUUUGACCACGCGGUUUGAACAGUCAGGCGACUUGAAUAGUGACGCGGUUUAGUUGUAUAUAAUCCCGUGUAUAUGCAUGUACUGUACGCGCGAUUUUUGGUCCACUAUCAUGUUGCCACGCCAUCAAUCAACAAUACAUAAGAAUUUUAGUCCAAUAGAAUCGUGACACCUCAUCAGUCAAUGCCACAUCAUCAGUCAAUGUCAUGUCAUCGUUCCGUAUGCGUGAACAGUGUCGUGAACAGUAACAUGGACAAUACCGUACAUGUGAACAGUGACAUUUUUCCUUUUAUGCUCCUCCUAAGGUUUUCGACUGUCUUGAGUUCAAAAGUGAUGUCCGUUUUGCCGUCUGAUCUCUCGUUCAUUGUGAAAUUACCAUGAUGCCCCUAAAAUACAUAAAAUACUUAAUUAAAAUGAAACACACAUAAUUAAAUCACAAGAAACUUAAAUACAUAAAAGUAAGGGUGUUAGUAAGAUUUAAAAUAUAAAAUGAUGAUUUUUUUCUUUAUAAAUAUAUAUUUUCUAACACUCAACAAACCUCCCAUGGAGUGGAUGAUUGUCUCAUAUAUUGAAGGAAGGUGAUUUAAAAAAUAAAUAAAAUAAAUAAAAAAGUCAGGGAUUUUAAAGAUAAAUUAAAGGAUCAACUAUCACAAUUCUUACUGAAACUCAUUUGUACAUUUUACAAUCAAACUCACAAAUAAAUAGUCUCUAACAGUGGCUUGGACGCACAUGUAUAUGAUUAGGGAUGGCAAUUGGUCAAGCCUGAGCCCGACUCGAUCAAAAAAAUAAAAAGCUCAACUUGAAAAAGAUUCUGAUCAUUGAAUUUCAGGUCGGGUCGGGCUUUUGUCCAUGCAAAAUUUCAUAAAUUUUUUAAAGAUUUUUUUUAUAUUUAAGUAAUUAAAAUUUAAAAAAGGGACACAACCUCCCAUAUAUAUUAAAAUUUAGCAUAAAAAUAAAAAUUACUCAAAAUCUCAACCAUUUAAUUAUAUAAAUAAUAAAAUAAAUAUAAUCCAAAAUUAUGUUUUAUAAAAUUAUACAAGUAAAAUCAUUUUUUUUAUUUUUGAAUUCGGUUCAGGUCGGCCAGGCCAGGUAGGGCUUCAAUCUUUCCCCGAACUUAAUCAGGCUUUUUUUUAUUUUUGUAGGCUUUUUAUUUUAAUUACUUAAAUAAAAAAUUUUAAAAAUUUUAAAAAUUUCAAAAAUUUUAUGAAAUUUUUUAUAUAAAAUUAUACAAAUAAAAUAAAAAAGGGACAUAACCUCCCAUGUAUAUUAAAAUUUAGCAUAAACAUAAAAAUUACUCAAAGUCUCAACCAUAUAAUUAUAUAAAUAAUAAAAUAAACAUAAUCUAAAAUUAUGUUUUAUAUUUUUUAUUUUUGAAUUCAGAUCAGGUCGGAUAGGUCAGGUAGGGCCUGAAUCUCGACUCGAACUUAAUCAAGCCCUAAUUUUUAGGCUCAAGCUCGACCCUUAAAUUUAGGUCAAAUCCUGAAAGAUUCUGGUCAGGUCAAUUAGGCCAAAAUUGAGGCCGGCUCUUUUUGCCAUUCAUAUAUAUAGUUCCUUUGGACCCAAUGGGUCAUGAACUUUCUAGGCCCGGCGAUGAUUUUCUUUGGCCCACUAGAGGUUGAAUUUGCAUUUUAUCACGUAAUUAAUUUUACAAACAUUCCAUUUAAAAUUAUGCUCACCCCAAAAUUAAUUACCAAAGAAGUAAAACCUAAAUGAAUAUUUCGAUUUAGUAGUGAAGCUAAUUAUUUUCAUCCGAGUUAAACCCGAAUAAUGUUAAAAGAUAUCAUGUGUAUGUUUAUUUAUCAUAUCGUUUCAUUAUCAUAUAUAAGAGGGACAGGGCCGGCUUUAGAGUAUAUGGGGCCUUAGGCAAAAUUUUUUGUGGGGCCUUUUUUUAUUUUGCAAUUUUAAUAUUUAAUGAAAUAUAAGACUAAAAAAUUCAUACGACUUUUAACUCUUGAAUUUUAAUAGUAAUAAAAAAUAUCUUAAAAAUUUUCAAAAACCAAACCUAAAAAAAUAACCAAGAAGAUAUCUUUUUUAUUUCCAUUAAAAUUAUUACAAAGAUAAACAAACAAAUAAAUACAAACAAUAUUAUUUUCAAAGAGAAUAUUUAGAAUAGUAGAAAGUUGAGAUGAUGAAUUGAUUAUCAAAUAAUAGAUAUGCACUUUGUAUUUUAAGAAACUAAUUUUUUUCUUUUUUAAAUGAAUCAAUGAAUGUAAUAAUUCUCUUCGUAAAAAAAAAAGACCAAGAAAUCUAUUUAUUUAUUAUUUUUUAUAUUAUAAGGUUUUAAUGGAAAUUAAAAGGAAUAUUAAAAAUCAAAGAAAUUAAUUUUUUUAGGAAACUUAAAAGGGAAAAAAUUUAAUUUUUUUUUUGGAAAAACUAAUAAUGAAUGAAUUAAUGGCUAAAAUUUUUUAUUAAUUAUAUCUCUUGAACAUUAAAGUUACCAAAUAUUGAUUUUCUACAGAAAAAAUAAUUGUUAGUUGUGGUAUAACCGUUAAUUAUAAAGAUGUCUAAUAGGCUUUUCUACAAUACAUAAUUAAAAAAAAAAAGAUCUUUAUUAAUUAAAUAACUAUUACGAAAUACUAAAAAAAAAUGAGGCCUUAAAAAAAUAUAGGGCCUUAGGCAAUCACCUUGUUCGCCUAUACUUAAAGCCACCCCCCUGAAGAGGGAUAGCUACACAUAUGCCACAUAAUUGUCAUAAUAAAAAUUAUGCAAAGAAAUAAAUUUUAAAUGUUAAAUACAAAAAAAAAUCAAUUUAUAAUUUUCAUGGGCAAUGAUAGCCAACUACCCCUUUAAUUGUUAUAAUGAUAUUUUGGCCAUUAUAAGUAUAAAAUUUAGAAAUACUAAUUGUAGUUCCUAUUGCUAUCUCACGACCGUCGGAUAUAAUGUAAAGAGCCGACAAGUGCUUGAGACAACUAACAGCAUGGACUAUUACUAAAAACGGUAUUUAGACUUACGGGAAAGAUCAUUCUUCUGAAUUAAAAGGUAUCUGUAUUGAACCAAUAUCUAUUUGUUUAUGUUAACUUUAGAUUGAAAUUUGGGGCCUGAGAAUGGAAAACUAUCAUUAAGAUAUGUGGACAUUACAAGUCAUAUAACUUGGGCAGGUCUAAUAUAAAAAGGUGUACAAAUUAACCUUAAUGCAUCAGCAAUUUCUGUGACUAAUUUUGUUAAUUCAAGAGUCUAUUCCCUUACAACUCCAUCAACACGAAAAAAGUUGAUCAUCAAUUCAACAUGAGUUCUGCUACAAUGAAGAACAAUAUUCAUAAUAUUUGUGGCAACAUUUAUUGUACGCUUCUAGCUGGAAUCUUAUUAAAAAUUGGAGCAUAUAGGUUGAUUCAAAUGAAUAUGGAACUAUUACCGCACGCCCAUGACUCUUAGAUGAGAAUGUCCUCAUUUUUUUAAAUAUAGAUUUAGGAUUUUAUAAAAUUGUGAAAGCCUUUUACAAUGUUGUAAAACUCCGAAUUGACAUUUUAAAAAAUACGGGUACUUGCAAGGACUAUAAUAAUAAGAUUGCCAGCAGUGGCGGAUCUAUGCGUGGGCUAGACCGGGCUCCAAAAAAAAUCUUUUAUAUCCCUUAUGUUUUUAUUAAUUUAGUAAAAUGAGAGAUUUUUUUUUUUCAUAUAUGUCCCUAAUUCAACUGCCCUUAUGAUUUCAUCAAUUUAGUAGAACAAUAGAGUUUUUAUUUUAUAUUCAAAUAUGUCCCUAAUUCAAUUAUAUUAUUUUCAAUUGAAAUUAGUGACUUAUUUUAUAAAAUGAUUAAAUUAUAUAUUUAUUGAAUAGAUUGUAAAUAUUAGGGAGCUAAAAUUUUAUUACUGCUUUAAUUUAUUUUAAAAAACUUCUAAUUGAAAAAAAAGUAUGUCAAUGUAAUAUAACAUCAUCAAUGGUAUUAAAAAUACUUAUAAAAACAACAUAUAGUAACAAUUAUCAACAUUUUCAUAAAUUUUUUAUAUGAAUUUUCAGACUUUAUUUUUUAGUUCCAUUAAUUAGGAGGACAAGUUAGAAAAUAAAAUUAGAAUAUUUUAAGGAGCUUUUGAUAGAAGUAUUAUCAACAUCUAGUUCUUUAAAAAGAGAAAUAGCACCUGACUCUCUCACAACUGCAUCCAGGUACUUUUUUACUGAAUUGAGUUUAGUUUAUUAUUAAAAAUUUUAACUAAUAAUACUUUUAUAAUUUGAAUGGAUGAAUAAAUUUUAAUUGUUUAAUUUAUUAAGCAUGGUAAUUUAGUACUUGAUUUCAAACAUAAAAGUUUUACUUGUAAUUUUUAAUUGAUUGUAAUUACAUAUAUUAAUCUAUUUUAGUUUGGGAUUCUUAAUUGAUUUCUUAAUCCUUAUAUAAUUACAUGUUAUUAUAGGUUGCAAUGUCAGAUUCCAUAAUUGAAAAAUAGAGUUUUGAUAUUUAAAUUAUUUUUUGUUUUCUACUCUUUUUUUAUAAUUAUUUUUGUUUAUAGUACAUCUUUAUGGGGAUAGAGUUCUUAGUGUUCCCCCUUAAUUAAUGUAUUUCUUUUUACUUAUAAAUUUUUAUGUUUGCUUUUAGCCCUGGAUAAUUAUAAGUCCUGGGUCCGCCCCUGACUACAAGCAGGUAUUUCAUUUGUGUUUUAUAACAUUGUGAUUUGUUUGAUGAUCUACGCAAUUAUCACAUGGUUACAAGUCUUGGAUAAUAUUACUCUCUUUAUUAGUUAUCAAAAUUUUAAAGAAUGAAUGAAUAAUUAUUUAUACCUAUUUUUAAAAUGUAAUACAAAAAUUAAGUGAAAUUAAACAAAUCAGAAACGAACAAAAAAUGCUAUCUAUUCCCUUUAGUGUUUGCAUCAUUAAUUGUGAAAUCAUCCUUGAAUUUGAGAGCUGCAUUUCUAAGCCAAGCUCCCCCACCAGUCAAGUCCUUGGACAAGAACAUAUAUGCUUCAACAUCUGAUAAGCUGUUUGACCAAGCAAUCCUUUUUGAUCUAUCAGCUCCCGGACCCGAACACCUGUAUUCACCGUAGUACAACUUUCUGCAAAAUCAACACAUCAAAAACAAUGAAACAAGUUAAACACCUGGCCUGUAUGUGGUUAAUUUCAAUUUGGUACACAUACUAUUAAAGCAGAUUAAUUGAAUAAAUGAUAUACUUCUGCAUGGCAUGGUCGUUCAGAUCAUUCCAUCCUUGGGGCAGUAUCACAUCGGACAUGUAAGUCAGGGCAUACACAACCCUAGAAUAAGGACCCCAGGGCCUUCCAAGCACUGCCUUACCAACGCCGGAAAUCUUGCAAUCCAAGAAAGUGAAUCCAGUGUUUUCCUCUGAUGACACUCUUUUCUGAGCAGUUAUAGCUCCGCCCCACGUGGAAAGAGAAUGUAUAAGGCAUCUCUGCAAAUUAAGGUCAUGAGUCAAUGUUGUGAAACUUAAUUAAUUAAGUGUUCAUGUUGGAAAUUAAGGUAGCGUAAUGAGAAUGAGUAUUCACUUCAAAGAGGGAGUUAGCAUUUCCGCUGAUGAAAUCCGUUGCUCCUUCGAUGUAGCAUUUGCUAUAAUAAUGAUUUCCAGUGUCAUCUAGCAGUGUAUGUUGGUAAGACAGAAUCCUGCAGCCGUAAAAUGCUGCUCUAUCUGCAGAGACUCUUAGCGCAACUGCUUUGCCGUAUGAUCCAUAUGUGUUCUGUAACAUAUUAAUUUAUCAAGGUAUAAGUUAUAUACGUAAAUGAUAUCUAGCAAUCAAGGACUUCAUCAUAUACGAAUACUGCAAAGCAAAUACGUACCUGAAUCGUUAGAGAUCGCGCAACAAAAUGAGAAGCCAACACAGUGAAAGUUGCAGAAUCAAGGAUGGAGCCACCAUCACUCCAUGUUAUUUUGGUGUGAGAUGCCUUUGUGCCACUGAUUGUUAUGAAAGGCUUAUUAGCAGGCACAAUAAUCUUUUCUCUGAAUAUAUAUGACCAAGCACAUGUAAACAUAUAGAAGAAAUUGUGUGAUGAGUUCUAGUUAUUGAAACGAAAAAAAUUCAAUUGAAAAUAUAUAAAAGAAGAGAUGUAACAUUUAAUUGUUGACCUGUAAAUUCCUGGGGCAACCGAAAUGAAAACCAAUUCUGAGUUGUUAUCUGGUACAGAAUCAAUGGCUCCUUGUAUGGUCCUAAAAUCUCCUCUGCCGUAUUUUUCAACUCUAAUGAGAACAGCAGCGGAGAAAUCUUUGGGAAUUGUAGCAGUAGAGCCGCAGGUAGCCGUGAUUGAAGCAAAAACAAUUGUUGUUGCAACAACCAGAAUGCUGACAUUUUGACUAUAAUUCUUCAUUGUAACAGAACCCAUAUAUGUUAAUGAUAAACUUUUUCUACACCUUUCAAUAUGUGGCUUCCCCUGCCCCCAGGUGAAAUUAGAUUUAAACCUUUACUUACUCUAUUUAAUUAGAAACUAACAAAUAAAGAUAGGCCUAUUUAGAGAUUGUUAAUGUCAUAUGACUUGUAAUGUUAACAUCACUUGAGACUAUUUUUCGUUCUCAACCGCAGCUGUCAAUCUAACGUUAACAUAAACAAAUCGAUAAUGACAUAAUUUAGAUACCCUUUUAAUUUAGGAGAAUGAUAGUUCUUUGCUUAAAGUUUGAAUACCUUUUCUAGUUAUAGUCCAUUUACUGUUAUUAGUUUUAGGGAGUUGACAGCUGUUGACUUGGAAAAUAUUAAUAAUAAAACCUUAUAUCCAGCGGUUAUGAGCCGGCAAUAUUAUAGAAACCAAACUAUUACUAUCACGUAUUUGGCUAUCAUUUGCCCAUGAAAUUACACAUUACCUUUUUAUUUUUGUUGCACUUUAAAAUUUUAAUUUUUUUCCUUAAUUAGUAUCAUUUUAAUUGCCACAAUGAAGUUAACUUUAUUAGGACUCGGGCUUGAAGCUUUUUUUCAUGUGACACGGAAUCUUUGCUGAUAUCUUUUGCGAUCCCUACUAUGCCUUAAAACUGAAAAUUUUCUUUUGAUAUUUAUUUGGCUUCUUACUUUUGGUUCAUCAUCGGCCCCCAUAAAACAGAAGCAGCAAGGAGUCUGAUUUGGUUUGCUUAGUUUCUAUUCCAAAUUAAGAAUGUAUAGUCGUUUCUUACUCUUUAUCCUAAUCAAUGUACCUAGUAUAUGGCUUUCAUUCAUAAGAAAUGACCAAACAAAUCCUUGUUCAUGAACAAUACAUGCAAGCAAAAGUAGAAAUGCUGUAAAUGGUAGGCGGGUUUGAUCAUGUUCAGUAAGCAACCAACUUAAUUUAAUGGGAAAGCUGCAGUUGAGUAUGGAGAAUAGUUAAGUUAAUUAUGUCACGAUUAAAUAAUUAAGUUAAUUAUGUCAAGAUUAAUUAACAAACACGACAUGGCCUGAUAGAAAAUUUUCUGAGUUUUUUUUUUUUUGCAACUAAUCUCACAGCUGAUGGGUGAUGACUGAACUUGAAUAAGUAAUCAUGUAGCACGUAAACUAAGAUUUCACGCACUUUCUGUAAUCUUGUAUUUCAAGCAAAAUCAGCUAGUGAUUCUUCUGCUUACAAUGUCCUUAAUUCUCUAUUGUACUUGAAUGUUUAUGUUAAGAUGACCAUCUUUUAUUUCAACUGCAAGAAAUCGGCUACAAGCCAUCAAUUUUGUUGAUUUUCAUCUUUUAUUUCUAACUGCAAGUAGGAUUUCCGUUGGGCCAUGUAUAAGCCAUCUGGCACACUUAGUCACUCGAACAUGGCUUAGUUACCUGCGCCUCUGCUCCUGCUGGCAUACUUGAAAGUAAAACACCUCCAAAUAAAUAAAUAAAUAAAUAAAGGAAAAUUAUCAUUUCACUACUUUUAUUUAUGCUUAUCCAACCACUAUAAAAUUUUAACAUAUAUUUUGCACCACCUUAUUUUUCACAUUUAUAUCAAUUAGCCACUUUUGCAUUAACACUAUUAAAUAAUUUUAAUAAAAUGACAAUUUUACCCCUAAAUAAAUUAAAAGACCAUUUUAUCUUAAAAAACUUUUAAAAUUAAAAAUUAUAAUCAUAAAAAUAUCCCUAAAUUUAAUAAAAAAUAAAUCCCAAAUAGAGGUGCUCAACUAAUUUUUACUAAAUUUAGAUUUUACAAAAUUUUAAUAAUUAUUUUUAUUAAAAAUGAUAAUUUUACAAAAUUUUAAUAAAAAUAAAUGAAUUUAUUUAUUAAAAAAUUAUAAUUUUGUAAAAUUUUAUUAAAAUAACUGAAUUUAUUUCUUAAAAGAAUAAGUCCUAAAAUUUUAAUAAUUUAGGGGAUUUUUAUUAAAUCCCAAAAUUUUACAAUUAUUUUUAUAAUUAUAAUUUUAUAUUACAAUAAUUUUUAUUAAAAAUAAAAAUUCUAAUUUUGGGAUUAUUUUUAUUAAAUUUAGGGAUAUUUUUAUCAUUAUAUUUUUUAUUUUUUAAAGUUUUUAUAAAAUAAAAUGGUCUUUUAAUUUAUUUGGGGGAAAAUUGUUAUUUUAUUAAAAUUAUUUAAUAUGGUUAAUGCAAAAGUGGCUAGUUGAUACAAAUGUGAAAAGAAAGGUGGCACAAAGUGUUGAGUGUUAGAAAAUGUAUAUUUAUAAAGGAGAAAAUUGUCAUUUUACACUUCAAGUUUUACUAACACCCUUACUUUUAUAUAUUUAAGUUUCUUGUGAUUUAAUUAUGUGUGCUUUAUUUUAAUUAAGUAUUUUAUAUAUUUUAGGGGCAUUAUGGUCAUUUCACAAUGAACGAGAGAUCAGACGGCAAAACGAACAUCACUUUUGAACUCAGGACAGUCGAAAACUUUAGGAGGAGCAUAAAAGGAAAAAUAUCACUAUUCACAUGUACGGUAUUGUCCAUGUUAUUGUUCAUGACACUGUUCACAUAUACGAAACGAUGACGUGUCAUUGACCGAUGAUGUGGCAUUGCCUGAUGAGGUGUCACGAUUCUAUUGGACUAAAAUUCUUAUGUACUGUUGAUUGAUGACGUGGCAGCAUAUCAGUGGACUAAAAAUUACGCGUACGGUUCAUGCAUAUACACAGGAUUAUUUUCAAUCAAACCGCGUCACUGUUCAAACCAGUUGACUGUUCAAACCGCGUACUGUUGACUGAUGACGUGACGCAAUCCUGAGCGUCCAAACUGUUUUUAAUUCGAUGGCCAUGAUUUACUUAAUGUAUCUAUAAAAAAAGGGCCUCUCCCCCCUAAUUUGGCAUCUCUGAAUCUAUUUUUGGGCUCUAUUUUCUGUAAUUCCUUCCCCAUAUUAUAUUUUCUAUGUAUUUUAAUAAAUUUCCAUUUUGCCCCUAGUUCAAUUAUGAGUAGCUAAUUUUCUUUCAAGCUUGGAUUAAAGGUGAAGUCUCAACAUGUGUCAUGGGCUUUAUUUGGUAAAUUUAUUUUCUCUUCCCCUCUAAUUAUUGUGGAUGUUUUGACUUUUUGUCGAUAAAUAAUAAUAACAUUGUCUAGAUACCGCCCUGGUUUCACCGGCUCCCUAGUACAAGGUUAUUAUUAUUUGGCACAAUAAGUCCUUAGCACCAUAUUAAUUAGAGUGUGGUUCAUGAGGUGUAGAUUCCCCCCUCAUGAUUUAAUUCGCACUAAUAAGGAAUAUUUAGCCCAUGGUGCAUGUUGAUGCGGAUCCAGAUACCCAAACGCUUCAAUUAUAAUAGUUUUCACCUUAAUUUAAUUCCGCCAUUCCCAUUUAAAUUCUAGGAUAAUUUAAAUCACUUCCACCACAAAUCCAAUCAACCACCCAAUUCAAAAAUUAACUCUACAUGUAAUUAAAAUUCACCUCCUCAUGGGAUCGACACUCGUCACCGUUAAUCUAUUCUACAAUAGAUUCGUACACUUGCGAAUUCAAUAAAAUUUGCACAACACAAAGUACAUGUUAAAAUUUUGUAGUGGUUGGAUGAACAUAAGGCAAAAUAAAGGUGGUGCAAUGAUAAUUUCCCAUAAAUAAAAGUAAAACAAAACUACCAUAAGCUAAUUUCAUGCAAAAAAUCAAAUGAGACUAAGGGUUCGUUCGAUAAUGAGGUGUUCUAGUUGAUGUGGAACAAAAGCUAUAGCCUGUGAAAAUAGAUGGAUCGAUGUUUGGUUAAAAAAAUAAUCGUAAAAUUCAAGAAAUAUAUAAAAUGAAAGUGAGCAUGAUGAAGGAUGCAACGUUGAGAGAAGCUUUAGAAAUUUUUAUAUUUGUUGUGUGAAUUUCAGAAGAAUCAAAAGAUUUACUUGUUUCCCUUCUAACCUCUACUUAAAAUUUAUAUGAAUUUGAAGUAAAAGGAAUUUAUUGGGCUUCUAAAAAAAGAGCAAGAAAAUCUUUCAAGGUAAUCCAAUAAGGCCAUGAAAGAUACAAGGUUAAUUUGUUUUUUACUUUAAUACUAAUGUAAAACAAAUUCUCUUUCAAAAAAUAAAACAAAUUAAAACAUAACCAUCUGUGCUGAUGAUGAUACUUGCAUUGAAUUCAUUUCUUUUAAAAUUUCCAAUUUGGGUACUGGAUAAAAUAUGGUGUAUAGUUAAGCUUGAAUCAGGAACCUUAAAGGUUAUGAAGUGGUCAAUUGUGGUGAUGAAAGGAAAUAAGAGCAAUGGUCUGUAUAUACUUCAAGGUUCAGUUGUUACAGGUGAUGUUACUGUGUCAAACCAGAAUUUAGACAAAACUAUUUUGUGGCAUAUGAGGUUAUUGUUAUGAAAAUUUUAUUGAACUCGCAAGUGCAUGAAUCUAUUGUAGAAUAGAUCAAUGGUGACGAGUGUCGAUCUCACGAAGAUGUGGAUUUUAAUUGUGUGUAGAAUUAAUUUUUCUAAAUGGGUGGUUGGAUUUAUGGUAAAGAUGAUUUGGAAUAUUCUAAAACUUAAAUUAAAAUAGCGAGAAUAAAUUGAAGUGAAAUCUAUUGAAAUGACGCACUUGAAUAUCUAGAUCUUUAUCAACAUGCACCAUGGGCUAAAUAUUCCUUAUUAGUGCCAAUUAAAUCAUAAGGGGGGAAUCCACACCUCAUGAACCACACUCUAAUUAAUAUGGUGCUAAGAGUUUAUCGUGCCAAAUAAUAAUAACCUUGUACUAGAGAGCCGGUGAAACCAGGGCGGUAUCUAGACAAGAUUAUUAUUAUUUGUCGAUAAGAAGUCAAAACAUCCACAAAAACUAGAGGGGAAGAGAAAAUAAAUUUACCAAAUAAAGCCCAUGACACAUGUUGAGACUUCACCUACAACCCAAGCUUGAAAGAAAAUUAGCUACUCAUAAUUAAACUAGGGGUAAAAUGAGAAUUUAUUAAAAUACAUAGAAAAUACAAUAUGGAGAAGAAAUUACAGAAAAUGGAGCCCAAAAAUGAAUUCAGAGGUGCCAAAUUAGGGGGGAGAGGUCCCAUUUUUAUAGAUAUAUUGAGUAAAUCAUGGCCAUCGGUUUAAAAACAGUGUGGACGCUCAGGAUUGCGCCACGUCAUCAGUCAACAGUACGAGGUUUGAUCACUCGGUUUGAACAAUGGCACGGUUUAGUUGAAAAUAAUCCUAUGUAUAUGCAUAUACUAUACGCGCAAUUUUUGGUCCACUGAUAUGCUGCCACGUCAUUGAUCAACAGUACAUAAGAAUUUUAGUCCAAUAGAAUCGUGACACCUCAUCAGUCAAUGACACAUCAUCGGUCAAUGCCACGUCAUCGUUUCGUAUAUGUGAACAGUGUCAUGAACAAUAACAUGAACAAUACCAUACAUGUGAAUAGUACCGUACAUGUGAACAAUGACAUUUUUCCUUUUAUGCUCCUCCUAAGGUUUUCGACUGUCCUAAGUUCAAAAGUGAUAUUCGUUUUACCGUCUGAUCUCUCGUUCAUUGUGAAAUGACCAUGAUGCCCCUAAAAUAUAUAAAAUACUUAAUUAAAAUAAAACACACGUAAUUAAAUCACAAGAAGCUUAAAUACAUAAAAGUAAAGGUGUUAGUAAAAUUUGAAGUGUAAAAUGACGAUUUUCUCCUUUAUAAAUAUACAUUUUCUAACACUCAAUACACCCCCCAACCAACUUAUUGCUAGUCCCUAGUAAAUAAAGCGAAAACAAAAUUCAAAUCCAAAAUGAUUUUUUUUUUAACAAUCAUGUUUAUUCAAUCAGACUAAUGAUAGUAAUCAAAUAAAAAUAUAAGCAUUAUCUCCAGUCUAAAUAAACAUCACACCCACAUCAACCAUCCACAUGAAUCAACCCAGUAGACUUUGUCACAGCUGUUUUCAAGAAUGACAUGUUAAACCCCAAAAUCUCACUGGAAGUAGUGACACUCUCACAAGGAAAUUAAACCCAAUAAAAAUAGUCACUUCAAUGAAUGCUGAAUUUGAGAGAAAAUAAUAAAGAAGUAAUGUCACACGCUCUCACCAAGAUGAAAGAAAUAUGCCCUCAGCUCAGAAAUAAUACGAUCUCAAUUCAAACAAAAAUGCUAGUCAACCUAAUUUAUUUAUUUAUUUAUUUUUAUUAUGCACCACUACAUCUUUUUAGCCCAUAUAACUAGCUUCUAUAUCAGACUAUAGUUCCCUAAAAUCAAGAAGGUCUUUUAUUAGGACGUAACGUAGGCUAGGGACAUGGCUAACAAAAGAGGGGAAAUAAGGAAAACAAAAUGUAUGUUUGAGAAAAAUGUAGAGAUUUUUUUCUCCUUUUUUUUUUUAAAGUUGCAAGGUGGAUUUCACCUAUUAUUGUUAUUUAUUUAUUUUUUUAACAACAAUUUUUUCUUUUUGCUUUUGUUUGGCACAACUUCACUGAACAAAAUAAUUAUUUACAUUUUUCUCAAACAUAAAUAGGUGAUGGAACUUGUAAGAUAUCGGUUAAUACUCCAAAUCAGAGUGGGUCAAGAUGAUAAGUUUGACAAAGAAAAAGUUUUUUUUUAAAGGCUCAAACGGGUUAACUGUGGAUAUUUCACAAAAUGAAUGGCUAGAAAGGCUCAAACGGAUCAAAGAUGGCUUUUCCAUUGUCUUUUAGGGCUCUAAAUAAUCUUUCAUAUCUACUAGUUAGAUGGGCCUCCAAAUAUAACAACACACAUUUUUUUUUCUUUUUUUUUUAAUUUUAUAAUUUUUUUAAGGGUUAACUCAAAAGAAAUCUAGAGAUCGUGUAUAAAAUAAUAAACUGCUAAGUUGUAUGAAAAAUGGGCAAAGGGAUUACUCUCCAAAAUAAUACAAAUACUAAAAUUUGAAAUUCAUCAUGUCAUCCAAUGUUAAAACAAAUCACACAACUUUUUUUUUUUUCAAACAACAUUCUACCCCCCAACCUAUUCUAAACAUGAAAGGAAAAUAUGCAUGUAGAAAUGUGAAAAUGAUGCAGAAAAACUAAUUAGAAAAGUUACAAUUAAAAUGAUAGAAAAAGAAAAUGGUUUUUUUUUUUAACUAAGAAGAUGUGUUUCUAGAGGCACUACACUCUAUAUUCCACCAUCUUUAACUCAAAAAUUUGAAAGUGUAUAUUUAUAAAGGAGAAAUUAGAAAGAAAAAGUUAGAAAAAAAAUAAUUGUCAAAGCUUAAUAAAGAAAAAGAAAAUAUCUGGAAUAUUUUUUAUUAUUUUAUUUUAUUUUAUUUUUUUCAAACGAAGAAGAUGCGUUUCUAGAGUAACUAUACUCUAUAUUCAGCCAUCUUCAACACAAAAAGUUAGCCACGGUUAGUCUCUAUAAUAAAAAAAUUAGUAAAAACUUAACCAACAUUCCACAAUUGUCAACUAUUCCCUCCCCCCAACCAGAACGAAACAUUGUCCUUAAUGUUUGAAAGGAAAAAAGUAGAGUUUAGAAGACAUCACCUGGGUGGUGCAACACAGAAGAAAAUAUUUACAAGCGGAGAGUUAAAUCUAAUUUGUACUUCUUACAGCGGCUACUGUUACCAUCAUUAUUUGGACGCUCCAACACAAAGGUCCAGGGGUCUAGCUCCAGUUUAUAAGCUUGUAACAGAUCAAGUAGCUUAUUAGCAGUGCGUGCACAAAUAAAAAGUUUUUUCGCUGUGGAAGGAAUGAAAUAGUUUUUUAUUGCAUGGUUAAGAAAUGCGAUGAAGCCAUCAUAAAAGUUAUUGACAUUUAACAAAUCAAUAGGUUUCUGGUGAAUGUGCAGAUGGGCCCAAGAUGCUAGUGUGAUAAGUGCCUCUAGUGUUGCAAGAUCUCAUAGAAGGAAAAUAAAAGCAUUACCAUGAUUAAGCAUUUCAUCUAUUCUUUCUUGCAUACCUGAGACGACUAACUCUUCUUCAGUUGGUGAGUCAGACAAACUGUCCAAAAGUUUUAGGGCUCUUGGGAUGAUGCCUAACACUUGGCUUUCUCUGACAAAAGCAGCUUCUGAGACCAAUUUUGAUAACCCUCGGUUACCUCUUCCAUACACCAAGUGUAAUUUUCUCUCUGUUAUGCUUCGACCAAGAUCUAUGGCUGCCUCAACGAACUCUUUAUGUUUGACAUAGUUAAAUCCAGAAAGCACACAAAUGUUCUUGAAUUGUCUAUUGGGAGUAGCUGCCAUUGGGAUACUUCUUAAAAAUAAUUUGUGAGUGCUUGACAAAAAAUCAUAUUUAAUAAUCUUGGUGACAAUGAGUCACAGCUCUGUACGAGGUAGCAUGUCAGUGUCAAUUAAUGUGUAAAGCACAUGGCUCGAGAGUCAAAAAGCAAACAGUAAAAAGAAAAAAAAUGAUAAAAUAAAAUUAUUAAAGACAAUAAUGCAAAUGAUAAAACAACAGUAAAAUAAAACAACAAUGAAGUAAAAAAAUAUUUACAGGUAGUUGCAACUGUGGCUCACAUAUUCCUCUGGUUUUACGUCCAGAAACGACUUGAACGCCAUCUAUAGGUCGAGGAUAGGCUUCCCAUCCAGUUUUCUUAUAAACUGGCAAACAUGGUCGUUUAUAGUCAGAUUCCCGAGACUAUAUCGUGCAUGCUCUUUCUAGAAUAAUGGUCAUAACUGGAGAAUCACUCCUUGCACAUAUCCACUGGGAUAUGUUUCAAGAGACAAAAGAAUAUCAUCCAAUGACUCUUUAUUCAAGCCAUCACUAAUGAAUUGAAUCUUAUCUUCCCUGUUAUCAUACACCAUUCCUAAAGAACAUGAUUUUUUAUCACAACUCAUUUUGUCACACUUAUGACAAGCAACAGAAAUUCUUCGAGCUCUUCGUUUUCUUUCAUAAUUUUCUUUACCACAACCAGACAUGUAUGCAAUAAAUUUUGGAGGUAACUCACCUGCCAAUUGUACUUUAGCCUCGAUUAACCAACGGAUGUCAGCAGGUAUGUUAUUCCUCAUGAGCAAUUGCAUGCGUUCGAACCGAGCUUUAUAGAUUGUAAGGAUGGUAUUAUGAGGAAGUGAAGGGAAUCGAUUGAAAAGCUUUUCUAGAAUCUCGUUUCUGUCCAUACCUUCGCCUCAGAAUAUCAGUUAUUAUGGGAAACUGAAGUAACCGACUUGAUCGUCACAGAGUACCAUUAUCCGCCACUUCACUGGGUAACAAACUAAAGCACACAAACAAAGAAAAACAAACUAAAACACAUAAAGAAAAUUAUAAUCGUCCUCUUAUUGAAUUUACCUCAAGCUCCAAUUGGAUGUUGUAGACACUUCUCUCAAUGUCUCUGAGUUGGCUUUCUAAAUCCUCAACAUAGGAUACUAACUCUGGUGGUUGCAGAACCCAAAUAUGAUGUGUUUUACGAAAUUGAAUCUGCCUUUUGAGACGAGAUUUUACACUUUGAAGUGGUUUAAGAAUGUCCAGGAGGAAUUGUUUAGCGAUGGCACUCAUGAUUAACAAUGAUAAGAGAAAACUUAAUAGUUAAACAAACACACUUAUGCAAAAAUAAUUUCAAUUAGCAAAAGAAUAAUAAAAAGAAAGAAAGAAAAAAAUCAAAUCACCGAAAAGAAAGAAAGAAAAACUUAAUUCAAAUCUGGUGGGUCACUCAAAUUUAUUUCGGUGUCUUCUCCAUGUGGUUGGUACUCUAGAUUUGACUUUAAUCUUUGACCAUUAACUUUAAACGUGACACCGUUCUUUGGAUCUUUAAUUUCAAUUGCUCCAUGUGGAAAAAUAGUAUGAACAAUAAAAAGGCUAGACCAUCGAGAGCGUGACUUACCUGGGAGUAGGUGCAAGCGAGAAUUGAAUAAAAGCACUUUCUGACCUGGAGUGAAAGAUUUUCUCAUAAUUUGCUUGUCUUGAAAGACUUUCAUUCGUUACUUGUAAAUUUUGGCAUUUUCGUAUGCAUCAUUGUGAAUUUCUUCAAGUUCUGCCAGUUCUAAUAUUUUUUCUGAGCUAGCUUGCUGCAUGUCAAAGUUGAAUUUCUUAAUGGCCCAAUAUGCACGAUGCUCGAGUUCCACAGGUAAGUGACAAGCUUUUCCAUACACUAGCUUGUAGGAUGACAUCCCAAUCGGGGUCUUGAAAGCCGUUUUAUAUGCCCAUAAUGCAUCAUCAAGUCUUGAUGACCAAUCUUUUCUGUAUGGCCUCAUCGUCGUUUUUAAUAUGUGCUUUAUUUCUCGAUUGGAGAUCUCAACUUGACCAUUGGUUUAUGGAUGAUAUGGGGUCGCCACUUUGUGAGUGAUGGAAUACUUUGUCAAAAGAGUUUUAAAUGCUUUGUUACAAAAGUGGGCACCACCAUCAUUGAUUAUCGCUUGAGGGAAUCCAAAGCGUGAAACAAUGUUGCUUUUCAAAAAUCCUAUCACCACCUUGUGAUCAUUAGUUCUACAUGGAAUUGCUUCUACCCAUUUCGAUACGUAGUCAACAGCAACCAAUAUGUAUUGAUGGCCAAAAGAAGGGGGAAAGAGUCCCAUAAAGUCGAUACCCCAUACAUAAAAAAUCUCAACCACUAAAAUUGGAUUUAGUGGCAUCAUAUUCCUUCGUGUAAUGCUCCCCAUUCGUUAACACCUAUCACAUGAAGAAUAGAAAGUGUAAGCGUCUCGAAAUAUAGUUGGCCAAUAGAAACCACAUUGUAAAACUUUAGUCGCUGUUUUCUUAGCGUUGAAAUGGCCUCCACAAGCUUGUUCAUGGCAGAAUAAAAGGAUAUUUUGAAUUUCACUUUCUGGGACACAUCGUCUAACAAUUUGAUAGGCACAAUACUUGAAAUAAUAAGGGUCAUCCUAAAAGAAAUUCUUUAUUUCCGUAAAAAAUUUGGCUUUGUCUUGCUUGGUCCAAUGCUCUGGAAGUUGACAUGUAACAAGAUAAUUAACGAUAUCAGCAUACCACGGUAAUACUUCCACACUCAUCAAUUGUUCAUCUAGGAAUGACUCAUUCAAUGUUAAUGGUUCUGUAAUUGUGUCAAAAUGGAGACGAGAGAGAUGGUCUACCACAACAUUUUCUGUGCCUUUCUUAUCUUUAAAUUUCAAGUCAAAUUCCUGCAAAAAGUAACACUCAACGAAUUAGUCUAGCUUUUGCAUCUCUCUUUGUGAGAAGAUAUUUGAGAGCAGUAUGAUCUGUGAACACAAUUAUUUUACAACUGAUAAGAUAAGAUCGAAAUUUUUCCAAUACAAACACUACUGCUAGCAUUUCUUUUUCAAUAGUUGAAUAGUUCAACUGUGCAUCAUUCAAUGUCAUACUAGCAUAGUAAAUAACAUGGGGAAUUUGAUCAACUCUUUGUCUUAAUACUGCUCCUACUGCAUAAUCAGAUGCAUCACACAUGAGUUCAAAUGGUAAGCUCCAGUUUGGGGGCUGAAUGAUGGGUGAUGAUGUCGACAACUGCUUUAAUUUUUCAAAUGCCACAAGACAUGAAUCAUUAAAGACAAAAGGUACAUCCUUAGCAAGUAAAUUGCAUAAGGGUCUAGAAACUUUACUAAAAUCUUUAAUGAAACAUCUAUAAAAACCAGCAUGCCCAAGGAAAGAUCUUACUUCUCUGACAGUUUUGGGUGUAGGAAGAUUAGAAAUGAGAUCCACCUUGGCUUUGUCAACCUCAAUACCUUUGCUCGAAAUGAUGUGACCGAAAACAAUACAUUAUUUUACCAUAAAAUGGAACUUCUCCCAAUUUAAGACUAAGUUCUUCUCGAUACAUCCCUGCAGAACUAGUGUUAGAUGAUGUAAACAUUGAUCAAAUGAAUCAGCAAAGACAGAAAAGUCAUCCAUAAAGACUUCAAGGAUUCGUUCAACCAUAUCAGAAAAAAUGCUCAACAUGCAUCGUUGAAAUGUAGCAGGUGCAUUACAUAAUCCAAAUGGCAUCCUCCUAUAUGCAAGAGUGUCAAAAGGGCAAGUGAAAAUGAUUUUCUCUUGAUCUUUUGGUGCUAUGGGAAUCUAAUUAUAUCCUGAGUAACCAUCUAGAAAGCAAUAAAAUUCAUGGCCUGCUAAUCUAUCAAGCAUUUGAUCGAUAAAUGGUAAAGGAAAAUAGUAUUUACGUGUGACAGAAUUCAACUUUCUAUAAUCAAUGCUUACACGUCAUCCUGUAGUCACUAUAGUGAGUAUCAAUUCAUUAUAGGCAUUCGUAACUACCGUGACUCCUGACUUUUUUGGGACAAUUUGUACAUGACUGACCCAUGAACUAUCAAAAAUGGGGUAAAUGAUACUUGCAUCUAAUAGUUUAAGGAAUUCAGUUCUAACAACUUCUUUCAUGUUAGGAUUUAACUGACGUUGCAUUUCCCUAGUAGGUUUAGCAUUUUCAUCAAGGUGAAUGUAAUGCAUGCAGUCUACUGGGUUUAUACCUUUAAUGUCUGCUAUGGUACAUCCUAAUGCUCCUUUGUGCUCUUUUAAAACAUCCAACAACUUACUUUUUUGUUCGUUAUUGGGGGAUGAUGAGAUGAUUACCGGUAGAGUACUUUCUUCUCCCAAAAACGCAUAUUCCAAUGUAUUGAGUAAUGGUUUGAGCUCGAGUUUCGGUGGUGAUUCUGAUGAUGGGAUGAGUUUCUUCUCUGACGGUGCUAGUUGUUCAACUCUUGACUUCCAUUUAUUAGUGUCCAUGGAUGGUGCUGAGUCAAGCAGGGCGUUGACCUCAUCAACUGAUCUGUCAAUAUCAAAAUCAAAACCAAAGUGAGUUAAACAUGUUUGUAAAGGGUCAUUACUAAGGUUUGAAAGAAAAGUGUCAUCAACUAAUGCUUCAAUUAAAUCCACAUCAACAAUUCUAUCAUCUGUAUUGUGAGGUUGUUUAGCAAUGUUGAAGAUGUUUAGCUCCAUAAUCAUGUUGCCAAAGGACAACUGCAUAUUUCCAGUUCUGCAUUGAAUGUGAGCAUCAGCGGUUACCAAGAAAGGUCGGCCUAGAAUAAUGGGGAUGUGCUUCCUUGAAUCCCGUGUUGGUUGAGUGUCAAUUACAAUUAAAUCAACAAGAAAAUAAAACUUGUCCACCUAGAUAAGCACGUCCUCCACAAUACCACGAGGUAUUUUCGUGGACCGAUCUGUAAGCUGUAACACCACUGGAGUUGGGUGUAAUUCUUCUAGUCCAAGUUUCACAAAAACUGAGUAAGGUAACAGAUUUACACUAGCUCCUAAAUCCAACAAAGCAUUCUCAAUUGUAUGGUUCCCUAUACUAUAUGAGAUAGUGGGGGAUCCUGGAUAUUUGCAUUUUAAAGGAAUUUUGUGUUGGAGUAUAGAACUAAUGUUUUCUGUUAAAAAUGCAUUCUUUUAAACGUGAAUGUUUCUCUUUUUAGUACAAAGGUCUUUAAGAAACUUGGCAUAAGAUGUAACUUGUUUUAUAGCAUCAAGUAAAGGGAUGUUAACACGUAUCUGUUUGAAGAUUUCAAGAAUCUCAUCUGUGGAUUUUUCUUUCUUUCCUUUAUUAACCUCUGAGGAAAUUGAGCUUUGGAAACAUAUUCUCGUGGGCUGGUUUCUUCUUUCUCUUCCGAUGGUGAGUAUGGGUUGAGAGUAAUUCUAGUUUUGAUUGUAUGGUCUAAAUGGUGACUGAGAGACUUGCGGAACUUGAGGAAUUUGUUGCAUUGGUGGAGCUGGAGCUGCUGGUCCAUUCUGUUGGAAUCCUUGAGACCGUGAAAAAUUGGGGUUGUCUCUCCAUCCAGGGUUAUAUGUAUUGGCGUAUGGGUUGUAAUUAGAUAGUUUUCUCAUUACACAUAUGGCAUUGGCUUGAUCUGAGUAUGAGUCAUGGUCAUAUGGUUCUGUUGAUUUAGCAGUCGUUAACGAUGCUAUUUGUCGAGAAAGACCUUCAAUUAUCGCUUUGACUUCUUUAAUUUCUGAACUUGACUCGCCAAGAUAAACCUCAUUUACUCCCUUAAUUCUUUUAGUAUUCCUGAGCGAUCGACUCCGUUGUUGGGAAUUAUUCGCUUGUCGCUGGAAGAAUUCUCAAAUCUCUGAUGCACUUUUUGACAUUAGCUCUCAUCCACUUGUUGCCAUUAGUCAUUCUUGCACAUUCGGCAAUAAUCCCUCCAAAAAAUAUUGGCAUUUGUGUCAUUUCUCGUACCCAUGAUGUGGACACUUCAAGAGUAGCCCAUUGAAUCGCUUCCAUGUUUCGAAAAACUGCUCAUCCUAUCUCUGGGUAAAAUCUGAUAUUUUCCUGCGAAUAGCAUUGGUUUUAUGCACUGGGAAAUAUUUAUUAAAAAAUUUUGUUACUGUUUGCGGCUGAUUUUGGGUCAAUGAAUAAAAAACCACAAAACCAACCUAAGAGCAAUAAAUUUAUAUUUUUGUCGAGGAGCGGGGUACCUCGCUUGUUCGGCACGUGUGGGCUAUUUAGGCUUUUUGUGGAGCGAAUGAGGAUUGAGAUGACGGAGGAUAUGGAGGGGGUCUGACUUUAGGUGCGGAGGACUGGUGAAACUCGCCUUAAACCUGCGAAACAAUAAAAAACGAGGUCAGAGGUGGAGCCGGGGGUGGCCGGCUACCACACUCCGACGCUCAAGUCAGAGUUGGGUUAUCUCAGGUUAGAGAGCUUGCAAGUUCUCGGUAAUGGAGAUUUUGAGGUUGAAGAAACCCUAGUUUUUUUGUGGUGAGUGUGUUCACUCCAUUGAUAAAAAUCAAACCUGAGUAUUUAUAUGGUGUACCCCGGUCGCCGUGCCACCUGGCGCUAUUUUAGUGGUGUUCCUUGCUGUCAUGUCAGGAAUAUUCUUAUUUUCAUGCGUAUAGCGGCUUAGACGUUUCAAAAAUAUGAGUAGAGCGCAAGUUUGUGGUGUAUUCACGUGCUGGGCGUAGUGGAGUGGUCCCGCGUACCUCUGCAAUUUCGUUGUAAUUUUGCAGGCGUAGCAGGAAAAGCUGGUGGUCCCAACUGUCACAAUAUCACACUUUUGGCGGAUUUGCUGGCGUGACAGGCGGCUGUCUCCUCUUUUGCGGCACGAGAUUUCCUUAUUUUUUGACACGUAUCAAACCGAUCUUUUUGAGAUUCGGGGCCCACAUAUCCCUCCACAUAUUUACGAAGACUUUUGUAUCAUUUCAUGGUGUACCCGAGGUACCCCCGGAGUGCUUAGGGUAGCCGGGGUACCUAGGGUACUCGAGAUAAAUUCAUCUCUUAAAUAUCGACACGUGGCGCUUCAUCAUUGGCCUCAUAUUUCCUUCCCAAACAACAUCCCCCUAGUUUCUUUGUGGUGAAUGUAAUUGAGGCGCAAGAAACUCUUGAGGAACUGUGUGACACGUGACGAUAUUUACCUUUUUUUUUUUUUAAGGAACUCUUGAAGGAACUCUGAACUGGUCCCUGUCUUCACGUCUCUCCAGCUUUCCUUGGGGAAGUGGUAACCGCCUGACACAUGAUUUAAAUUUGAAAACACCCUUCUGCAAAAAUUAUUUGACCUCUCACUUCAUGAAGGACGAUUUGUCAGGUUUAAUUAAACAUGUUCCACUCCUUUUAUGUUACCACUUUAUUUUGAAACUCCCAAAAAAUCUCCCAUCAAAUUUAAAUGCUUCCAGUGACUUCUUGUUUGCUCUGGCUUUCAAAUUUCAAAACCAGUCAAAUCAUUUCAACCCCAAGCUUCGCAUCGUGUGCAAUUUGUUUUUUUUUUUAAACAAACCACUUUCUGUACGUUUUCACUCCCACUUUAUUCUCUGUCAUUUUGCAAUUCCCAAAAACUUUUUCUCUUCUUCUCCAAUUUCCAACGCCUCCCCAUCUCCAUUUUUUCUUCUUUAUUCUGCCUUUUGCUUCUUGCCCUUUCGGCUUCCAUCUCCUUUCUUCCUUUUUUUUUUUUUUUCUUUGCUUGCUCUCGGCCCACCAUCACAUUUUCUUUCUCUUUUUGCAUUCCUCAUUUUUCUCUUUUCUUUAUCUUCUUCCAGGCAACUUUUACUCCCUUUUUUUCUUUUCAUCUUCUUUUUUUUUCCUUUUUUUUUUCUUUCCUUUUUUUUUUCCUUCUCGGCCAGCCUUGGUUCCCGUGAUUUCCGGUGGUGGCAUGACGAUGGCGUUCGGCUAGUGGUGCAGUGAUCUCCUUGUGGUAAGCCAUCUUCUCCCCCCCAUUUUGCUUCUUCUUCGUUUCUUCCACUGGCCUUACCACAAGCCUCUUCAUUUAUUUUUUUUUAUAAUCCAUGCUCCUCCUCUUUUUCCUUUUAAAUCAGCCAGACAAUUUCUUCUUCUUUUUUUUCUUUUUUUUUUCUUAUUCUGAUUUCCUUUUUUUUUUUUUAAUUCUGACUUCCUCUUUUUUUUAUAUCUCCAGGCUCCCUCCAUUUUUUUUAUAUCAUCCAAGCUCAUUUUUUUUUUUAACGGAUUUCAUUGUGUCCAUGACAGACUCUGCACAGCUCCAUCUUUUAAGCAUUUUUCGGCGAUCUGUGACUUCUCUUGGUGAUUUAUAGUCUAAAACUUUACUCUUUGGCGACUGAAAUUUGCUGCUCUCGGUGAGAUCUAGGUAUGAAUUUUUAUACCUAUUUUUGGCUUCUUUAUUUUGAAAAGUAAUGUUGUGGCUUUGUUUCUGGAUUUGUUUCCGGUUUUCAUGCAAAGUGUUGGCAUUUUUCUUUUUUGUUUAUGCUUUUAUUGGUGGAUGUUGGUGUUUGGCUUGUGAUGGAUGAGGUAUGAAGUUGUGGGGGUAUGUUUUGAUGUGGAGGCUUUCUUUUUCAACUUGUGUCUUGUGUUUUUAGGAGAACAAGAUGGGGAGAAAAACUUUUGGGAAAAAGGGUCGUAAUGUGGUCAGGGAGCCGGGGGAGACGAGUGAGGAGGCUCCCCUUUCUGAUUCAGCCCCUUAUAUAUCCCUUAGUGACGACAAUGGAUCCCCUACAGCUAGUCCCAAGUUAUCUCGAACCAAACCUAAUAAAAAAUCAAAGAUUAAAGGCAAACACCCAGCCAAGUCAGCCCAUAGAAAAACUCGUGCAAAGACAUCCAGACCCAAAUCUCCUGUUCCUGUCAGCAUUCCAGAACCUCCCCUGAUCUCCCCCUCUGUCCAUGUAGCUCGUAAGCUCUAUGCACUAAGGGGUAGGCCGGCUACUCUGAGAGACUUAGAAAGGGUUAGAGCCAAGUACAACAUACCUCAGUCUGUCCACCUUAGGGUACCUCGCAAGGGCGAGCGCCCCGAGCACCCUCAUUCUGAUGGUGUUGCCCUUCAUAUCAACCUUUUUUACUUAGGUCUCCGUUUACCCCUUCAGCCAUUUUUUAGAAAAAUGUUCGCUGAGAUGAAAAUUGCUCCCCGGACAAUUAUCCUUACUCUGUUGGAGAUUACUCACGGGUCUGGAGGUUUUGUGGCUAGAUAUUUUUGGGGAAGAUAUUUCUUAUGGAGAUCUAAGGGAGCUUUAUCAGUUGAAGAAGCCCGCUGGUUUAUCCGUAGCCUAUUUUGCUACUUGGGGGGUUCAUGGUAAUUUGGUGAGACCGGAUACCUUGCUGAAAAAGGGCUACAGAUAUGGGUGGUUUAUGGCUGAGGGCGAGUGGGGGAAGAACAUUCCAGCGGGGAAUGAAGUUGUGCAAGUUCGGAACUUCUUCAAUGAAGAUAGUAUGUGUUUCUUUCCUCUUCUCUCAUUUUCUAUGUAUAUAUACACCUCUUCGCAUGAAUUUUCUUCUUAUUCAUUAUUUUUUGGGAUUUUUGCAGACAUCACUUGGACCAAGGGAACGUGCCCAAUCCAUGAAGUGGGGAGGAAAGUGAAUGGUGUUAUAGAGAAGUUUCAGAUUUUGCAGAGUAAAGGUGAUGUUCUAUGCACUUCCUAGUUAGCGAGAGCUGGUCUGAUUAAGGAGAGUUUUCAGUCUUCUUCGGGGGGCGAUUCACGUAUGGCUAUGUGGUGUUGCUGGGGUACCCCGCCUUCAUUGGUUCUGUGGGGUGCCCCCAUUAUUUGAACAAACUUUUUUUUUUAUGCUUUGGUGGCCAUUUCUUAUUUUUUCUUAAUGUGCCUUUUUGCCAAUGACGACUCUGUUGUUUAUUUUCCUGAUUUGUCUCUUUGUCUCACCUCUUUUUUUUUUUUUGGAUAGGCAUGGACCAUUUUGGCGAAGAUUUUGACGCUUUCUUCAGUCGCAUGAGCGGCAGCUCCUCCGGUACCCUGGGUACCUCCGCAAAAGGUGACUAACCUCCCGUUGUUCCAGGCGACAAAGGUAAAUUGACCGUCUCCUCUCUUGGGGGUUCUCGGGGUACCCCGGCUACCUACAAGAGGAAGUUUGGAUCCCUUUUCACGGCUCCUGGAGACCUUAUAGAGGGCGAGCUGGAUCCAGUGGCUAACAAGCAGAUAUCGCACCUGAUUGAUUGCUUCCUUCAUUCCUCUGAGAGUAUUUCCACAGACGGGGCAAUGAAGUCAGAUAAAUUAGAUUUAAAUGAGCGCUAUAGCCGAGCGCUCAAAGCUUGUCAUGACGUGAGUGCCUCUCACUCUUUUCUUUUCAUUCUUUCUCUUUUUUUCUUUUAAUAUCGUCUUGGCUCCCUUUCAUUUUCUUUAUUAUUAUUUGUGUAGGCAGCUUUCUACCUUAGCCACGGUCUCCGAGACCUUAGUGGCAUCUCGGCUGUACAGACCGAGGUAGAGAGGCUGCGAGGUGAGGUUAGGCUCGGCCAGUCUCGGGAAGAGAAGCUAGGAGAGGAGGUCAGGGCUUUCCAAAGGCGCUUGGACGACCACGCCUGGGAGAACAGCCGAUUGUCUAGGAAGUUGGAAGAGGCGGAGUCUAAGCACGGCGAGCUACUAUCUCGCCAACCAGAGAUGAUGGACAAGGCCUUUACUCUUAUCAUACUGAGGUCUGGAGCGUCGAGCCUGAGCUGGUGGUAUCCCGGGUGGAGAAAUGGGUGGACAAGUCGGCCAUCCUUAAAGCGAUAGAGGACAAGAGGGCUACCCAGGCUCCCCCAUCUCACAGCCCACAGCAAUCUUUUGGGGUACCCCAGGUACCCCAGGCGGAUCUCCCUUCGGUUAGCGCUGUUCAUGCGGAUAGCCGCUCUUUGACUGCGAGUGUUCCUGUUGAUGCCCCCAUUCAGGGGAACGGUGGAGAGGAUGUCCCCCCUUCUGCUUGAUCUUACUUGUUAUUCAAAAUUUUAUCUCGAGAUGUCUUAGCAGCUUUCUUUCUUUGCUUAUGUACCUUUUGUAGUAUGGUAUUAUCCUUUUGAUGUGUUGGGAUACUUGUCUUUUAGAAGGUUGCCUCAGCAAUCUUGCCUACUCGUUCGCAUUAACUUCUGCAAUAUACUUUAUUUGGCGUGCCAUUGAAUUCCUUGCUUAUGAUUGAGAUGUCUUAGCAGCUUUCUUUCUUUGCUUAUGUACCUUUUGUAGUAUGGUAUUAUCCUUUUGAUGUGUUGGGAUACUUGUCUUUUGGAAGGUUGCCUCAGCAAUCUUGCCUACUCGUUCGCAUUAACUUCUGCAAUAUACUUUAUUUGGCGUGCUAUUGAAUUCCUUGCUUAUGAUUGAUUUGCGUAGCCUCGCAGGGGUUCCUCGGGUGCCCCAGGUACCCCCCUGAUGUAUUUUUGGCGCUUAAGUGAUGAUUUCCGUAGAUGUGCUCAUUGCUCGUCUUAAUAAAGAUUAUGGCGUAUCUCAAAAUAAUUUAAUAAUUCGCAUAUCAUCAUAAGAUAAAACGAAAUUCAUAUUUGGCGCAACUAGGAUAAAAUAAAGAUUAUGGCGUAUCUCAAAUAGACUUGUGGAGUUUCUUGGGUACCCCGGGUACCCUCCUUUUUUUUUCGAAGACCUUCUUGGCCCAUUUUCUUACAGAAAUGGUAAAAAACAUGCUUUUUUUGCCAUCCGCUUCUAGUCAAUAUUUAAUAAAAUAAUGCGAAUAGAGGGGCACGCUUGCCUACCUUGUUUCGUUUAUCUAUUCUUUACUUGGCUCAAGUAAAAGAAUUGAGGUGUGGGCGUGUGCAUACCUUAACGGAACCUCAUGGCGCUAGAGUAUGCUGGUUUACCUCACCCUCGGGCCUUCUCUGACCCUCCCUAUUUAAUUUUGUUGUAUUAUUUCUUAUUGGCGUUGACCUCGAACAGAUCUUCACGAUCGAAUCGAGUCAGAUACCUCAGGUUCCCCUGAUUAUCUUGAAAUGGAGCAACUAUAGUUGAAUAAGACAUGGCGUAAUAAGAGAGAGUCACAUUAAUGGCGAAAAUUUAACCAUAAUCACAUUCGGUAAUCAAAAGGAGAACAUUACAUAAGACUGACUCAUUAUCCCAAUGAGAAUAGGAAACCGUAUAGAUAUCCACUCUCUAGGACUUAGGGAAUUAAAAAUUUCACUUGCACAUACGGGGUACCCUAAGUACCUUUCAUGGCUUUACCACAUUGCACACAUAGUAAAGAAAAUAAGAAAUAGAUAAAGUGAACGAUAAGGUUUAAGACAUUGUCCUCAUGUUAGUAGUACUUCCUCAGCAUUGCGGCAUUCCAGGGAUGCUUGACGAUUGUUCCAUCCAUGUGGAGUAGUCUGUAUGCCCCCGAACCUACCGGCUUGUCUAUACGAUAUGGGCCUUCCCAAUUGGCUCCGAAAGAGCCCUCCGAGGGUACCCGGGUAUUCUGAGUUACCCUUCGUAGGACUAAAUCCCCUUUCUUGAAUGAUCUGGGGCGUACCCUCUUGUCGUAUAAAUCUGAAACGCGGUGCUGGUAUAUUGCAACCUUCAAUUCUGCUUUGGCCCUUUUUUCUUCAACAAAAUCAAGAUUGGACGCAAUCAAAGAGGCAUUCUCGGCUUCAUCGAAGUAUGCGGUUCUGUGAGAGGGUAUCUCGAUUUCAGCUGGAAUGACUGUAUCAGUCCCGAAAGCCAGAGAAAAUGGGGUUUCCCCAGUUGAAAUAUUCUGAGUUGUCCGAUAGGCCCAAAGAACGCCGGGUAACUCGUCUACCCAAGCUCAUUUCCUUUCCUCCAGCCUCUUCUUUAGGAUACCUUUGAUGAUUUUUUUGAUAGCUUACACUUGUCCAUUAGAUUGCGGGUGAGCCGGAGAAGCAAAUCGGUUGGCUAUCCCAAUUCUGAAAUUUUUCGUUAUCGAAUUGCUUCCCGUUGUCGCUGACAAUUGCAUUAGGGAUAUCAUAUCUGCAUAUGAGGUUCCUCCAAACAAAAUCAGUGGUUUUUCGCUUCGUAAUACUUGCCAACGGCUUCGCUUCUACCCACUUUGUGAAAUAGUCAACGGCUACAAUUGCAUACUUAGCUUGUCCUCUACCAGUUGGUAAUGGGCCAAUGAGAUCUAUACCCCAAACAGCAAAUGGCCACGGAGAAGACAUGACAGUUAACUUUUCUAGUGGAAGGUGGGGUACCUUGGCAAAUCUCUGGCACUUGUCACAACUCUUGACCAUGUUUUUGGCAUCCUCCUGCAUCGUAGGCCAAUAAAAUCCUUGAUGAAGAGCCUUCUGUGCCAAUGAUUGUGCUCCAUAGUGGUUACCGUAAGUCCCUUCGUGUAUCUCUCUCAUGACAUAUUCGGCAUGUUCAUUUCCUAAGCACUUUAAGUAAGGGAGGGUAAACCCUCUUCUGAAUAAGGUAUCCUCGAUGAGACAAUAUCGAGCAGCUUUGUACUUUAGCUUCCUUGCUUCAUUCUUGUUUGAGGGCAGAUCCCCAUUUCUGAGGUAUCUUAUGAUUGGUUGCAUCCAUGGUACCCCAGCAGUUAUCGACCCUAUUUCUUCUGGCUCAAGUAGAUUAACACUGAGUGUAGGUACGUACUCAGCAGUGAUUGGACCAACCGACUGAGUUGCACCGAAGGAAGCCAUUUUGGCGAGGUUAUCAGCUUCACAAUUUUCUAAUCGUAGAACUCUUUCCACAUUGACCUCAGCAAAUUGAGAUAUUAAUUCUCUUCUUCUCCCGAGGUACCCCUUCAUAUUUUCUUCCUUAGCCUGAUAUUUUGAGUUGAUCUGACCGACCACCAAUUGAGAGUCACUUUUGAUGUGGACUCUUUUUGCGCCCAAGGCCUUCGACAUCCUUAGCCCCACUAUCAUAGCUUCAUAUCCGGCUUCGUUGUUUGAGGCCUUGAACCCGAAUUGCAAGGCAUAACAUAGCUUCACCUUAUCCGGAUCGAUGAUUAUUACUCUCGCAUCGCUUCCGUGCGAGUUGAAGGAACCAUCCAUAUAAAUUUUCCAGACAUGCUCUUCUUCAAUAGCUGAUAUAGUUUCGCCCGGGUACCCCGGGAUCUCCUCACCCCCAGAGUCAUUGGCGAAUUCUGUAAUGAAAUCGGUGAUGGCUUGGGAUUUAAUAGCUGAGCGUGGCUUGAAGAUGAUGUCGAACUCACUCAAUUCAAGAGACCAGCGAAGAAGUCUUCCAGACAUGUCUAACUUCUGGAGGAUUUGUCGAAGGGGAAGGUUUGUUGCAACGACAAUGGUGUGGGCCUAAAAAUACGGCCUGAGUUUCCUUGCAGAGAUUACCAAAGCCAAAACCAGCUCUGUGGCAGGGUACCUCUUUUCCGCAUCCACCAUUGCCCUACUAGUAUAGUAAAUAGGGCGUUGCACCCCGUCUUCAUCUUCUCUAAGCAACACCGAGCUAGUGGCGUGCUCGAAAACAGCGAGGUACAACAGAAGCACUUCUCCAUGCUUAUGCUUGGCGAGCAACGGCGAAUUAACGAGGUACUCUUUUAGCUUCUGAAAAACCUCUUCGCAUUCGGCGGUCCAUUGGAGCUUCUUUCCCGCUUUCAAAGCUUUAAAAAAUGGUUUGCACCUAUCGGUGGCCUUGGAGAUGAAACGACUCAAGGCGGCUAUUCGGCCAGCUAAGCUUUGGACUUCCUUGAUGGUACUUGGUGACUUUAUCCCAAGAACCGCCCGGAUUUUGUCGGGAUUAGCCUCAAUUCCCCGCUGUUGUACCAUAAAUCCAAGGAAUUUACCCGAAGUCACCCCGAAUGCGCAUUCCUCAGGAUUUAGGCGCAUCUGAUGCUUUCUCAAAAUAUUGAAGGUGUCUCUGAGGUGCCCCGAGUGAUCACUAGUGUACACCGACUUUGUUAUCAUAUCAUCGAUGUACACCUCCAUGGUACGACCAAUUUGCUGUUUGAAUACCUUGUUCACCAAACGCUGAUAGGUGGCGCCCGCAUUCUUUAAACCAAAAGGCAAAACCUUGUAGUAGUAUAACCCACGGUUGGUGAUGAAGGCCGUUUUAUCUUGAUCAGGCUCGUACAUUGGAAUUUGGUUGUACCCGGAGAAAGCAUCCAUGAAACUAAGCAUCUCGUGCCCAGCCGUAGCAUCGACCAGCUGGUUUACCCGGGGAAGCGGGAAGCUAUCCUUAGGGCAAGACUUGUUUAAAUCCGUGAAAUCUACACACAUGCGCCAUUUCACGUUAGACUUCUUAACCAAUACAACAUUUGAGACCCAAUCGGGGUAAACCACCUCCUUAAUAAACCCCGCUGUUGGCAAUCGGUCCACUUCUUGUUCGAUGGCGUCAUAGCGUUCCUGGUUGAAAGCUCGACGUUUUUGCUUGACAAGCCUAUGAUGUGGAUCGACAUUGAGUUUGUGAUAGGCGAUGGAAGGCGGGAUACCCGGCAUGUCCACGUGAGACCAAGCGAACACAUCUAAGUUUUUCUUUAAGAACUCAAUAAGCUGCUCUCGGUGUUGGUCAGAGAGGUUGGAGCCUACCUUGACCAUCUUGGUUGGGUCCUUAUUGCAGAUCAAAACAAACAUAAGAUCCUCAACCGGUGUUCCUCGCUUUUCAUCUUUCGAUACCCGGGGAUCCAGGGGUACCUCGACUUCUCCUAUUGAUGCUGAAUUGGGACUUUGGGGUACCAGUGGUGCCUCAGGAGCUACCAUGUCCACUUCCAUUGGCCCAGCUUCAUAUGGCGCUUGGGGUACCUGGGAGUUCGUGGACCGUUGAGCUUUCUUACGUGCAACUCUCCGGUGUCUAGCCAGUGCCCGCUUGGAUAGGCUGGUAAAUGGUCUUGUGCUGACGGGGUACCCCUCCAGGAACAUAUUGGUGGCGAUUUGAUAGCUCACUUUCGAUGCGACCAAGUAACACCCUCGAGCCGAUUGCUGAUCCCCUUUAAUCGUGAUAAUUUCCCCAGCGGUUGGAAUCUUCAUGCGAGGUAAUGCAUGGAGAUUGCCGCCUUAGUUGUUGCUAAGAAUUGUCUUCCCAAUAUAAUAUUAUAGGCACCUGGGUGAUCCACAAUAAGAAAAUCAAUCAUAUGAACAACACGGUGAGGUACCUUACCAAGUGUAAUAGGCAGCGUGAUGAUGUCCUUUGGGAUAACCAUAUCACCGGCGAACCCAAUAAGAGGUGUAGCACAUGGGGUGAUCUUUGGCGAUUCAAUCAAUAGUUGAUCCAAGGCGCUUUUGAAAAUGAUAUCAACGGAGCUGCCUGUGUCUACGAGAGUUCUUACUACUUUACCAGUAGCAACCUUCAACGUAAUUACUAAGGCGUCGUCAUAGGGGUACGAGACAUCUUCAGUAUCUUGCUCUGUGAAAAGGAUAGGCGGGGGAUGGUGGGGUACCCCAGAUACCCUAAGUUGAUUAUGACAAGCGAAGUUCACUUCUUUUCCAAGGCGAUCUAAAAUUGGUGGCUUGCUGUAACGUUUGAUAGCCCGUCUAAAUUCCCGAGCGAGGGUAGGACCUCCUGCUAUCAUUCGAACAUACACGCCUUUCUUAGACCCCUGGGGUAUCUCGGCUUCGGGAUGAGGGUUAACAACUUGUUUACCCUUAUCUUGCUCCGAGAACUUCCUUGCCUCACGCAUAUCAGCCACAAAUUCCUUAAGAUACCCACUCAGAAUCAAUGACUCAAUUUCUUCCCUUAAGUGAAAGCAUUCGGCGGUGCUAUGGCCGAAAUCUUCAUGAAACUCACAAUACUUCAAGCUACGCUUCAUAUUGGGGUAUUUUCGAAUUGGCUUAGGUGGGCGAAGUAUCCUCGUAUCCCUAAUAUGGUAAAAAAUUUGUUCUGGAGAUUGAUUCAAAUGGUGGAAAGAGUCAUAUCUGGAUUUUUGUGGUGCUUCCCGUUGUUCUGGCAGUAGCGGUGGGCUAUGUACUCGGGGUGCUCAGGAGGGUACCUAAGGUACCCGGGGUACCCAAGGUACACCAGGGAUAUUCAGUCCUCUCCCACGUGGGGUUGGACGAGGUGGGCUGUGUACCCGGGGUGCUCAAGAGGGUACCUGAGGUACCUCGGCUCUCUUGGGUUUCUCCUUAUUUCUCACAACUUCGACUUUGUCUUCCUCCCGCUUUAGGUUACACUUCUCAUCCAUUUCUAUUUGUUGCAGGGCUCGAGAACGAGCUUCCUCAUAUGAAAUAGGGCGGUGUUUUUGAAAUGACUGCCAUAACUUCCACAAAUGCAAAUUCUUUUCAAAAUAAGUGAGAGUAUGUUGGUGACCAAAUGUACCGGUACGCAACACCUCUUGGUGGAAGCGGGUUACGUAUUCGGCUAAAGAUUCUGAAUCCCCUUGCUUGAUGAAAGCAAGCUUGGUGGAUGUUAUAUCUUGGGCGGAUGCAUAACCAAACUCAUGAACAAAAUCUUUUAGGAGCUGGUCUAAGGAGGAUACACUACCUGCCUUCAACGAUCGGAACCAUGACUUGGCUGGUCCAGUGAGGGUAUGCGGGAACAUCCGGCACAUAGCAUUGUCGCCCACUCCUUUAAUCAUCAUCUGGUCACGAUAUAACUCAGCAUGUUCCACAGGGUCCGAGGUACCCGAGUAUUGUUGUAUUUGAGGCAUGGUGAACGCUUCCAGGAGAACCGCUGUCCGAAUCUCCAUGGUGAAUGGCGAGUUAUGCACUGCUGGCGCUAAAGCAUUGGUGGAGUUUUGUUUUUCAGAAAGGAGCUUCACUUGAGUUUCAAGGUACUCCAUUUUUUCUAGGAACUCGCGGGGUACCCCAGGUGCACCUGAGGAGGCCGCUGUUGUUUAGGAAGCUCUUUUGGCGUUAAACUUGUACCGGAGAUCUUCAUGGGCUUUUUGUUUGCGUUUGGUACCCCGGCUACUACGGGAAUAACAAGAGGCAGUGGAGCGUUCUUCCCGGGAGCCGGCGGCUUGAAACUUUGAAUGGGUGCCCGAUGGCCCAUGCUUUGGUCUACUUCCCUCCGGUAUUUCAGAUCUUGGUAUGAUCUGUUUCUCACCGCAUGGAGGCGGGACAUCUUGAGUUACCGAAGAAGUGGCUGCUUCGGAUACCCGAGAUCCUACUGCUCUGAGAAUCACAUGAGCUAAAUCCUUAAAGUGUUUAUGAGUAACGAGCUCCUCGUCGGGUUGAAUACCAGCUGAUUGCUUAACUGAUUUGCCUUUCUCUAGGCGGGAUGCCCUCCUUGUCGAGUCACCCCUCUCAUCACCGCCGUGGUCCUCUGUUCCAUCAUGACCUAGCAUUUGGUUAUCAGCGGGUACGUCGGGUGCCAUGGUUGUGCAAGUGUUGUGCAAAUUUUAAUGUACUCGCAAGCGCACGAAUCUAUUGUAGUAUAGAUCAAUGGUGACGAGUGUCAAUCCCAUGAGGAGGUGGAUUUUAAUUGUGUGGUUCCCUAUGCUACAUGAGAUAGUGGGGGAGCCUGGGUCUUUGCAUUUUAGAGGAAUUUUAUGUUGGAGUAAGCACACGUACCGACAAGCUUAGCAUCGUGUUGAAGCUUUUUGCUCGUGUCCCCACAGACAGCGCCAAUUGUUUGCUGCUGAUUUUGGGUCAAUGAAUAAAAACCCAUAAAACCAACCCAAGAGCAAUAAAUUUAUAUUUUUGUCGGGGAGCGGGGUACCUCGCUUGUUCGGCACGUGCGGGCUGUUUAGGCUUUUUGUGGAGCGAAGGAGGAUUGAGAUGACGGAGGAUAUGAAGAGGGUCUGACAUUAGGUGCGGAGGGCUGGUGAAACUCGCCUUAAACCUGCAAAACAACCAAAAACGAGGUCAGAGGUGGAGCCGGGGGUGGCCGGCGACCACACUCCGACGCUCAAGUCAGAGUUGGGUUAUCUCAGGUUAGAGAGCUUGCAAGCGCUCGAUAAUGGAGAUUUUGAGGUUAAAGAAACCCUAGUUUUUUUGUGGUGAGUGUGUUUACUCCCUUGAUAAAAAUCAAACCUGAGUAUUUAUAUGGUGUACCCCGGUCGUCGUGCCACCUGGCGUUAUUUUAGUGGCGUUUCCUGCUGUCAUGUCAGGAAUAUUCUUAUUUUCAUGCGUAUGGCGGCUUAGACGUUUCAAAAAUAUGAGUGGAGAGCAAGUUUGUGGCGUAUUCACGUGCUGGGCGUAGCGGAGUGGUCCCGCGUACCUCUGCAAUUCCGUUGUAAUUUUGCAGGCAUAGCAGGAAAAGCUGGUGGUCCCAACUGUCACAAUAUCACACUUUUGGCGGAUUCGCUAGCGUGACAGGAGGCUGUCUCCUCUUUUGCGGCACGAGAUUUCCUUAUUUUUUGACACGUAUCAAACCGAUCUUUUUGAGAUUCGAGGCCCACAUAUCCCUCCACAUAUUUACAAAGACUUUUGUAUCCUUUCAUGGUGUACCCGAGGUACCCCCGGAGUGCUUAGGGUAGCCGGGGUACCUAGGGUACCCGAGGUACCCGAGAUAAAUUAAUCUCUUAAAUAUCAACACGUGGCGCUUCAUCAUUGGCCUCAUAUUUCCUUCCCAAACAGUUACCAUUUGUUCCCAUGAUGUGAUGCUAUUAGCAGGCAAUGUAUUGAGCCAUAAACAAGCUCUAUCCUUUAAAGAAAAUGGGAAUAGUCCAAGUUUAACAUCAUCAUCUGAAAAAUUCUCAUAUUUAAAUGUUUGACAAACAGUAUGAAAAUCAUUCAAAUGAUUAUAUGGGUACUCAUUUUCUAAGUCAUAGAAUGUUAUAAGAUAAUUUAGCACACUAGGUUUUAGUUCAAAACUCCUAGCAGCUACAUUUGGGUAUCUUAUGCAUGAUGUGCUCAAAUUAGUUAAGGGAUUGAAGUAGUCCUUAAAUGGCCUCUCUGGUGGUGCUUGUUGUUGUUGCAAAUUCAUUUCACUUUUAUCUUUAAUUACAACGUAUUUGUGUGUGCGAAGUGUUUUUUCAAGUUCAAGGUCUAUAGGCUCAAGAUUUGGUAAUAAUGACAUUCGACCAUGCAUGCAAUGAAUAAAAAAAUGAGAACAAAAUUAAUAAAAAUAAACAAGAAGAAGAAAUUAUGGUACUAACCUUAUCACACUGUUAAAACCUUUCUAUAAAAAACACACUUUAAAAAAUAUGUGAAAUAAAUUAACUAAAAAUAAAUUAAUAAAAUAAACAAAAAAUUACAAAGAAAAAUAAAUUAAAAAUUAAAUUAAAAAAUUUUAAAGAAGAGAAAAAGAAAAGAAAUUCUUACCUCUAAAUGUAGAUUCACUUUUUUUUCUUUUUUCUUUUUUAAAUUAAAAAAAAUUACAAGAAAAAUAACUAAAAGAAUUUUUUUUUUACAAAAAUUAAUUCUACAAAUUAAAAUAACUUACCUCCCCGGCAACGGCACCAAAAACUUGUUGUGCAAAUUUUAUUGAACUCGCAAGUACACGAAUCUAUUGUAGAAUAGAUCAAUGGUGAUGAGUAUCGAUCCCACGAGGAGGUGGAUUUUAAUUGUGUAGAAUUAAUUUUUCUAAAUGGGUGGUUGGAUUUAUGGUAAAGAUGAUUUGGAAUAUUCUAAAACUUAAAUUAAAAUGGCGAGAAUAAAUUGAAGUGAAAUAUAUUGAAAUGAUGCACUUGGGUAUCUAGAUCCGUAUCAACAUGCACCAUGUGCUAAAUAUUCCUUAUUAGUGUCAAUUAAAUCAUGAGUGGGGAAUCCACACCUCAUGAACCACACUCUAAUCAAUAUGGUGCUAAGGGCUUAUCGUGCCAAAUAAUAAUAACCUUGUACUAGGGAGCCGGUGAAACCAGGGCGGUAUCUAGACAAGAUUAUUAUUAUUUAUCGACGAGAAGUCAAAACAUCCACAAAAACUAGAGGGGAAGAGAAAAUAAAUUUACUAAAUAAAGCGCAUGACACAUGUUGAUACUUCACCUUCAACCCAAGCUUGAAAGAAAAUUAGCUACUCAUAAUUGAACAAGGGGUAAAAUGAAAAUUUAUUAAAAUACGUAGAAAAUACAAGAUGGAGAAGGAAUUACAGAAAAUGGAGCCCAAAAAUGGAUUCAGAGAUGCCAAAUUAGGGGGGAGAGGUCCCAUUUUUAUAGAUACAUUGAGUAAAUCAUGGCCAUCGGUUUAAAAACAGUUUGGACGCUUAGGAUUGCGCCACGUCAUCAGUCAACAGUACGCGGUUUGAACAGUGACACGGUUUGGUUGAAAAUAAUGAUGUGUAUAUGCAUGUAUCGUACGCGGGAUUUUUGGUCUACCAAUAUGCUGCUACGUCAUCGAUCAACAGUACAUAAGAAUUUUAGUCCAAUAGAAUCGUGAUACCUCAUCAGUCAAUGUCACAUCAUCGGUCAAUGCCACAUCAUCGUUCCGUAUAUGUGAACAGUGUCAUGAACAGUAACAUGGACAAUACCGUACAUGUGAACGGUGACAUUUUUUCUUUUAUGCUCCUCCUAAGGUUUUCGACUGUCCUGAGUUCAAAAAUGAUGUAUGUUUUACUGUCUGGUCUCUCGUUCAUUGUGAAAUGACCAUGAUGCCCCUAAAAUAUAUAAAAUACUUAAUUAAAAUAAAACACACGUAAUUAAAUCACAAGAAGCUUAAAUACAUAAAAGUAAGGGUAUUAGUAAGAUUUGAAGUGUAAAAUGACGAUUUUCUCUUUUAUAAAUAUACAUUUUCUAACACUCAACAGUUAGGUCGUAUCAGUGGAAAGGGCUUAAAAGAGUUGUCAAAACAUGAGGUUUUAGGAGUAGAUAAGAUAAAGUCUUUAAGGUUUUAUGAAGAAUGUAUCUUAGGCAAGUCUUCAAGGGUGAAAUUCAAUACUGGUGUCCAUAAUUCAAAGGGAACUUUAAACUACACUCAUGCUGAUCUGUGAGGGCCAGCACAAAUAGCUUCUUUAAGUGAGGCUAGGUAUUUUUUAUCUCUCAUUGAUGACAUUUCUAGAAUAGUUUGGGAGUAUAUAUUGAAAAAUAAAGAUGAUGUAUUUGAUUAGUUUAAGGCUUGAAAGGCACUAGUAGAGACUCAAACAAAUAAAAAAGUCAGGAGGCUUAGAAUUGAUAAUGGGUUGGAAUCCUGUAACAAGAAGUUUGAUGAUUUUGUAUUGAAAAUGGUAUUGUGAGGCAUAAGACAGUUAGCCAUACACCUCAACAAAAUGGGUUAGCUGAAAGGAUGAACAAGACUUUGGUUGAUAAGAUGAAAUGCAUGCUUAUACAUUCAAAGCUCUCUAUAGCUUUAUGGGCAGAAGCUUUAUUUACAACAUGUUAUAUUGUAAACGGAAGCCCCUCUUCUGGAAUCAACUUCAGAACACCAAUAGAGCUUUGGUCUAGUAAACCAGCAGACUACUCUAAUUUGAGGGUGUUUGGUUGUCUAGCAUACGCACACAUUACUUAAGGAAAACUAGAUCCAAGAGCCUUGAAGUGUGUAUUCCUUGGUUACUCAGAUAGAGUGAAGGGUUACAAGCUCUUGUGCACUGAUUUGAAGCCACCAAGAGCUAUUGUCAGUAGGGAUAUUGUGUUCAAUGAAGCUGAAAUGCUUCAUAACACAAUACACUCAAAACUUAUUGUCACAAAAUUAGAAGUCAAAGAUUAGAAGUCUCAUUUUGAGGUGGAGCUUUCAACUUUUAGGACAAAGCAAGAACCAAAAGUAGAACCUAAAACAAUAUCUGAUAUUGAGAGCUCUGAAUCUGUUGAUGAGUUUGUAGGUAACCAAGAAAUUAAAGAUUAUCAAUUGGUGAGAGAUAGAGAGCAAAGACUUAUAAAGCCACCAAAGAGAUAUGCGUUGCAGAUCUCAUUGCAUUUGCAUUAACAGCAGCACAUGAAGUUGAAUUUGAUGAACUAAGAACUUAUUCAUAGGUUGUUAAGAGCGAUAAGUCAAAAGAAUGGAAGCAAGCUAUAGAUAAGGAGAUUCAAUCAUUGAUAAAAAAUCAGACAUGAGAGCUGAUUGAGAAACCAGCAAAUAAGAAGGUAGUGUACUGUAAGUGGGUUUAUAAGAUCAAAGAGGGAAUACCAAGUGUUGAACCUCAAAGGUACAAGGCUAGGCUUGUUGCCAAAGGCUUUAUACAAAAUGAGGGUAUUGACUUCACAGAGGUGUUUUCUUGAGUAGUCAAAAACUCGUCCUUGAGAAUCUUAUUAGCACUUGUAGAUAUAAAAGACAUGCACCUUAAGUAAAUAGAUGUCAAGACUGUCUUUCUUCAUGGUGAGUUGGAUGAGAUGAUUGUAAUGGCCCAACCAGAAGGCUAUGUAGAUUAAAAAAAGGUUGAUCAUGUUUGCAAUUUGAAGAAAUCAUUGUAUGGACUUAAACAAGCCCCUAGGCAAUGGUAUUUAAGAUUUGACAGGUUUAUGUCAGAAUAUGGCUUUCAAAAAAGUAAUUUUGAUUAUUGUGUAUAUUUCAAAGGAGUGGAAGAUGACACUAAGAUGUAUCUGUUGUUAUAUGUUGAUGAUAUGUUGAUUAAAUGUCAGCAGAUAAACAUUCUUAAUCAACAACUGAGGGAAGUUUUUGAAAUGAAAGAUCUAGGAGUAGCAAAGAAAAUUAUUAGGGUAGAAAUAAUCAGAGAUAGAAAUGAAGGUAUCUUAUACUUGACUCAGCAAAAAUACAUUAGAAAAGUGCUUGAGAAGUUUGAGAUGUGAAGCUCAAAGCCUGUUCAAACACUAUUACCAGCUCAUUUUAAACUCUCAUGUCAAUAGUUUCCCAAAACUGAUGAUGAGAAGGCAGAAAUAGUCGUUGUUCCUUACUCAAGUGUUGUUGGAUGUCUAAUAUAUGCAAUGGUUCUAACUAGGCCAGAUAUAUCCUAUGCAAUUAGUGUGGUAAGUAGAUAUAUGGCAAAUCUAGGGAAAGAACAUUGGAAGGCUGUGAUAUGAGUAUUGAGAUGUCUGAAGGGCACAUCUGAUUAUGGUCUGGUUUAUGGGAUUAAAAAACGUAAUGAAGUCAGUGUUAAAGGCUUUGUAGAUGCUGAUUUUACAAGGGAUAUGGACAAAAUAAGAUCUCUAACUGGUUACUUAUUCACUCUAAAUGGUUGUAUCAUAAAUUGGAAAACUACAUUGAAGAGUGUUGUAGCUUUUUCAACAACUGAAGCAGAGUACACUGUAGCAGCAGAAGCCAUUAAAGAAGCAAUUUGGCUUAGAGGAAUGGUAGUUGAACUAGGGUAUGAAAAUAAGCAGGUGUUGGUCCACUGUGAUAAUCACAGUGCUAUUUGUUUGAAUAAAAAUCAUGUCCAUCAUGAAAAGACUAAACAUAUAGAUGUCAAGCUUCAUUUUCUAAGACUAGAGGUGUUAAAAGGAGUGAUGAAAUUGGUAAAAAUUCACACAAAUGACAACCUUGCAGACAUUCUAACCAAGCCUAUUUCAGGUGCCAAGUUUGAGUUCUAUUUGAACUCUGCUCGGAUUUACAAGAUAUAACUUGCAGAUUAGAAGUGAAGGUGAAGAAGAAAAGCAGUAGAUUUAAGUUCAAGGUGGAGAAUUUUAAAGAUAAAGCUCAAAUCUGAACUUAAAAGCACAUGUGCCAAGUCAAAUAUACCUUGAGAUUACACGUGACAUGUCGGUUGAUAAUAAACGACAUGUUAGUCAUAGAAGUUUAGGGAGUUGUAUGUGAUAACUCUAUGAAAUGAGAGUUAUUAUGACAAUUCUAGACUUAAAUCAAGACCACUUAGAGAGUAAAUAAUGUGUUUUUAUUAUAUUUUGGUUAUAUUUGCAUAAACAUCCAUUUUAGUUGAGUCUUAAUAAGUUUUGCUUGAUUUAAAGUAAUUUGUGCUCAAAAUAUGUGCAAAAUGGUAGGUUUUCAGAAGUUCAUAAUUUAUGAAGGGAUGCUGAGAUAUUAGGCUAGCAAGAAUAAGAAAGAAUAUGGCUUCAAAAGAAGUGAAACAUAACCGGGAACAGUGCAGUGGUAUAGUUGUUGCUAGAGCGACCAUUGCUGUAGUAAUCCUGGAACACCGAGGGAGAAAACUUAGCGCGGGUUAGCUGCAGAAUUACGAUCUGUAGUUUCCUAAUUUGACUUAUGUACGCUCGAGGCUUUUGUUUACCCUAGUUUUCAGUUAUAAAAGGAGGCGUGCAUCACAUAAAACGGAGGCAAGGAAUUAACAUUGAGAGAAUUAGAGAGAAAAGAAGAAGAAGAAAAUCAGAAUUCAAGGGAACCGAUGCUGCAUCAUUGAAGAAUCCAGCAGAGUUAUUUGGAUUCAAUUUUUUUCAUUCUCCACUCAUUCUCUUCUUCACUCUUUGAUUGAACCAAUGUAUUUCGUGACCAAUAUAUUGCUGUUUAUUUUUCUCUUUCAGAAUAUGAACUAAUUUGCUUGUAAUUGAGUGACAAACAAUCUAAUGGGUUCUUGACUGUUCUUAUGAGUUGCUAUAUAAUUGUUGUAGCAUUUUACUCUAUUAGUUAUUAUUAUAACUGUUAUUUCGGUUGACCACCCAUUUAAUGAUUCAAGUUAAGAUAAAGCCGCAAAAGGGCAAGUCUUAGUGGAUGUUAUUAGAGUAAUACUUGAUCUUAAUUUAAGUUUCCUAGAUUAAGUUUAUCUUGAAUCCCAUAAGGGUCAUACUUGAAGUUAAGAUUUGUGAUAAACUAGAUAUAGAUAUUCACCUUAUAGGGUGGAGAGAAUGGAUGUUCAUAGUGCCAUGCUGAAGGUAGAAUAACAACUGAUCAUUGUUAAGAUACUUAAGGGCAUGAGAAUUCCAAUAUGCGACAGCUGAUGAUGCAAAAUAAUUCUGCCCAGUGAUAUAGAAAUUGUUGUAGCAACUGGUGUUAACUUGAUGAAAAGCAGUCAGCCCAUAAAGAGAGUUUGAUCAUUCAACUACCUUAUGAGACUUCGACGCAUUUUUAUUUAAUUUAUUUCAUCACUGCUUUGUUUUAUUUUACUCUUUCAUAAUUAUCAAUUUCAAUAGUAACCAACCUUACAUUUGUUCAUCUCAGAAUAAAGGUAGAUUGCACUAUUGUGAUUGUUGUAGCAUUUCUAGUAGCAUCAAUCCAUGUUGAGACGAUCUUGAAUAUUCAUCACUUUAUUAUUUGUUGUGUACACUUGCACAUUGGCAUCAAUAGCAUUUGAUAAAAAAAUCACUAACAGUAUGAUAUUUUUGUAAUCAGUUAAACAAGUAAGUAAUACAUGUGAUACAAGACGUGCAUCACUUACCCCAAACGACAAGGGUGUGUGACGUUUUGUAUAUGAGAUCUUGUGAAGGCUUAACACGUGGCCAUUAGGGAUUCAAAAGACUGUUAAACGUCAUUAUCACGAGGGCAAAUUUUGGACUUCUUUACAACAAACCCAGAAGGCAAUAACAACUGCCUGGUGCGGGGUCAUUCUAUAUCCUUUUUUGAUUAUAUAUAUUCCUUUAUGGUGAGAUCUCUAUGUAGAAUGAUUCUGUAACAUCUUCUGGAUAUCUUGAAUAAGCUCAGAUAGUGAAACUUUUCUUCUCCUUCACAGUGGAUGUAGGCUCACUUUGUAGCCAAACCACUAUAAAUCUUGGUGUCAAGUGUGUGUAUGUGUGUGUGUGAAUCUAAUUUCUUGAAUUUCUUGUUUGGAUUGCAACUGGUUCGUCAUUCAUACUAAAGCUUGCGUUCACUAAGUCAAUAUGAGAUUACAAAGUACACAAGGGUGGAUCUUGGGGAGUCUAAAUCGGUACUUUAAUUGGUUUAGUUUCAAUAGAAGAUUCAGAGCAAAGUUGAAGCUUGUGUUCAUUAGUUAGUUUCAAAAGACCUGACCUGAAUUUUGGCCUAAUUAACCCGACCCAAAUUUUUGGGGGUUACACCCGAAUUUAUUCAGGUCGAGCUCAAACUUAAAUAUUAGGUAAUUAAAUUUGGGUCAAGGUUCAGGUCCUAUUUGCCUCGACCCGACCAACCUGACCUAAAAUUAAAAAA